rnacentral:rRNA from 1 species
AUGGAAACCAAGCCUUUCGUGGUUCAAAAACGCGGAAUCUCGUCUCAAUCAUCAUUUGUCAGGACUUUUCGGGGUAAGUUCUUUGGCUUGGACAGGACAUUUAGUUCAUGUUGCUAUUCCCGCAUCCAGGGGGAGUACGUUCGAUGGAAUAAUUUCUUAGAUGUAUUACCCUAUCCCCGGGGGUUGGGACCCCUUUUGACGGGUCAAUGGAAUCUUUAUGCCCAAAACCCUGAUUCGAGUAAUCAUUUAUUUGGUACUGCUCAAGGAGCGGGAACUGCCAUUCUAACUCUUCUUGGGGGAUUCCAUCCACAAACACAAAGUUUGUGGCUGACCGAUAUGGCUCACCAUCAUUUAGCUAUUGCAUUUAUUUUUCUCAUUUCCGGUCACAUGUAUCGAACUAACUUCGGAAUUGGGCAUAGUAUUAAAGAACUUUUAGAAGCGCAUACUCCUCCGGGGAGUCGAUUAGGGCGUGGGCAUAAGGGCCUUUAUGACAGAAUCAACAAUUCGAUUCAUCUUCAGUUAGGUCUUGCUCUAGCUUCUUUAGGGGUUAUUACUUCCUUAGUAGCUCAACAUAUGUACUCUUUACCUCCUUAUGCAUUCAUAGCACAAGACUUUACUACUCAAGCUGCUUUAUAUACUCAUCACCAAUAUAUUGCAGGGUUCAUCAUGACAGGGGCUUUUGCUCAUGGAGCUAUUUUUUUCAUUAGGGAUUACAAUCCGGAACAGAAUGAGCAUAAUGUAUUGGCAAGAAUGUUACACCAUAAAGAAGCUAUCAUAUCUCAUUUAAGUUGGGCUAGCCUCUUUCUAGGAUUUCAUACCUUGGGCCUUUAUGUUCAUAACGACGUCAUGCUUGCUUUUGGUACUCCAGAAAAGAAAAUCUUGAUCGAACCUAUAUUUGCCCAAUGGAUACAAUCUGCUCAUGGCAAGACGACAUAUGGGUUCGAUAUACUCUUAUCUUCAACGAAUGGCCCCGCUUUCAAUGCGGGUCGAAGCCUAUGGUUGCCCGAAUGA